AGGGCGUAUGGCGGAUGCCUAGGCUCUCAUAGGCUAUGAAGGACGUGACAAGCUGCGAUAAGUUUCGAUAAGGUGCAAAUAACCUUUGAGUCGAAAAUUUCCGAAUGGGGCAACCCAAUUAUUUGAAGAAUAAUUAUCCAUUUUUAUGGAAGCUAACCUGGUGAACUGAAACAUCUAAGUAACCAGAGGAAUAGAAAACAAUAGUGAUUCCCUGAGUAGUGGCGAACGAAAAGGGAACAGCCCAAACCAAGAUUAUUUCGGUAAUUUUGGGGUUGUAGGACUACGAUAUGUAUUAUAAAUUCUUAGAAGAAUGUUUUGGAAAGAACAACUAUAUAGGGUGAUAGUCCCGUAUUCGAAAACAAUUUAUAAGCUAGUAGUAUCCUGAGUAGGGCGGGACACGUGAAAUCCUGUCUGAAUCUACCGGGACCAUCCGGUAAGGCUAAAUACUAAUGAGAGACCGAUAGUGAACAAGUACCGUGAGGGAAAGGUGAAAAGUACUCCGAACAGGAGGGUGAAAUAGAACCUGAAACCGUGCGCUUACAAGCGGUCGGAGUCCCGAUUUAUCGGGAUGACGGCGUGCCUUUUGCAUAAUGAGCCUACGAGUUACUCCUCUUUGGCAAGAUUAAUACUGAUAACGGUAGUAGUCGAAGCGAAAGCGAGUCUGAAUAGGGCGAUAAAGUCAGAGGGGGUAGACGCGAAACUUGGUGAUCUACCCAUGGCCAGGUUGAAGCUGCGGUAACACGUGGUGGAGGACCGAACCAGUAGACGUUGAAAAGUCUUUGGAUGAGCUGUGGGUAGGGGUGAAAGGCCAAUCAAACCAAGAGAUAGCUCGUACUCCCCGAAAUGCUUUUAGGAGCAGCGUUGAGUAUAAAGUGUCAUAGAGGUAGAGCUACUGAUAGGGCUAGGGGGCUUCACCGCCUACCAAACCCUGACAAACUCCGAAUGCUAUGACAUGUUCCUCAGCAGUGAGGGCGUGGGUGCUAAGGUCCACGUCCGAAAGGGAAAGAACCCAGAUUACCAGUUAAGGUCCCAAAAUAUGUGUUAAGUUGAACUAACGAGGUCUGAUUGCAGAGACAGCUAGGAUGUUGGCUUGGAAGCAGCCAUUCAUUUAAAGAGUGCGUAACAGCUCACUAGUCGAGCGAUCGGGCAUGGAUGAUAAUCGGGCAUAAAACACAUUACCGAAGCUGUAAACUUGCGAAUUUAUUCGCAAUUGGUAGGGGAGCAUUCCAGUUGCAUUGAAGCAGUAUCGAUAAGGUAUUGUGGAGCGGCUGGAAAAGCAAAUGUAGGCAUAAGUAACGAUAAUACGGGUGAGAAACCCGCACACCGAAAGACUAAGGUUUCCUGAUCAACGCUAAUCGGAUCAGGGUUAGUCGGGUCCUAAGGCGUACCCGAAGGGGGAAGUCGAUGGACAACUGGUUAAUAUUCCAGUACCAGCUUGUACUGCGAUGGGAUGACGGAGAAGUGAAAGGUCCGCGUACUGACGGAAUAGUACGUUGAACACUGUAGGUAUAGGUUCUGUAGGCAAAUCCGCAGAGCUUGCUAAAGGUGGAUAGUACCACAAGUCUUCGGAUGAGUGGAUAGUGACCCUAAUCAUACUUCCAAGAAAAACCCCUAAGCGUCAGGUACAAGCUGCCCGUACCGUAAACCGACACAGGUAGUCGAGGAGAGAAUCCAAAGGUGCUCGAGUGAUUCAUGGCUAAGGAACUAGGCAAAAUUACCCCGUAACUUCGGGAGAAGGGGUGCCUCGCUUACGCGAGGCCGCAGUGAAAAGACCCAGGCGACUGUUUAUCAAAAACACAUGGCUUUGCUAAAUUUAAAGAUGAUGUAUAAGGCCUGACACCUGCCCGGUGCCGGAAGGUUAAGAGGAGGGGUUAUCCCGAACUUGUUUCGGGAGAAGCUCUUAAUUGAAGCCCCGGUAAACGGCGGCCGUAACUAUAACGGUCCUAAGGUAGCGAAAUUCCUUGUCGGGUAAGUUCCGACCUGCACGAAUGGUGCAACGAUCUGGGUACUGUCUCAGCCAUGAGCUCGGUGAAAUUGUAGUAACGGUGAAGAUGCCGUUUACCCGCAACGGGACGGAAAGACCCCGUGCACCUUCACUACAGCUUAACAUUGACAUUGGAUAAAUGAUGUGUAGGAUAGGUGGGAGACUAUGAAGCGGAGCCGCCAGGUUUCGUGGAGGUACCCUUGAAAUACCGCCCUUCUCACUUUUGAUAUCUAACCGCGGCCCGUGAACCCGGGCCCGGGACCCUGCAUGGUGGGUAGUUUGACUGGGGCGGUCGCCUCCCAAAGUGUAACGGAGGCGCGCGAAGGUGGGCUCAGGCUGGUCGGAAAUCAGCUGCUGAGUGCAAUGGCACAAGCCCGCCUGACUGAGAGGCCGACGGGCCGAUCAGAGACGAAAGUCGGUCAUAGUGAUCCGGUGGUCCCGAGUGGAAGGGCCAUCGCUCAACGGAUAAAAGGUACGCCGGGGAUAACAGGCUGAUACUCCCCAAGAGUCCAUAUCGACGGGAGUGU
rnacentral:rRNA from 1 species